CGAAGUGAGACCAAGAUUUAAGAGGGGAAAAAAGGAAAGCCAGAGGGCUGAAGGGCGACAUCUGGUUUCAUCAUUGACAUUGACGGGCCAUCCUUCUCUCUUGGUUUCUUGUCUCCCUCAGAAAAGAAAAAGAGGCAGAACCAACACAAAUGGACACACGAGGAACUGGGAGGAGAGGAUAAGGGAGAUUUACAUGCAUGUGGAGGGUUCCCCUACUCACAUCCUCAUUAAGAUGGUCAGACAGUGAAUGGUCCAGCAGCAGCAGCCUGUGAAAGAGGCCAAGACCAGGAGAUGGUGGCCCCUGGGGCAAGUGGGAGGCCCCUGGCUUCUCUGGAUCCCUCCAUUCUGAGGGUCCCAGGGGUAAUCCUGUCCAGACAUCCACACUCAGCCCAGGGGGCUAAU